UGGUUAAAAAGCUCGUAGUUGGAUCUCAACAGCCUUGAAGCGGUUAACUUUGUAGUUUUACUGCUUUAUAGGCUGUGCUUUUGCUGGAGGUUUAGGGGUGCUCUUGAUCGAGUGUCUCUGGAUGCCAGCAGGUUUACUUUGAAAAAAUUAGAGUGCUCAAAGCAGGCUAAAAUGCCUGAAUAUUCGUGCAUGGAAUAAUAGAAUAGGAUGUCGAUCCUAUUUUGCUGGUUUUCGGGACUCGACAUAAUGAUAAAUAGGGACAGUUGGGGGCAUUUGUAUUCAAACGACAGAGGUGAAAUUCUUGGACCGUUUGAAGACAAACUACUGCGAAAGCAUUUGCCAAGAAUGUUUUCAUUAAUCAAGAACGAAAGUUAGAGGUUCGAAGGCGAUUAGAUACCGCCCUAGUUCUAACCAUAAACGAUGCCAGCUAGCGAUCUGCCUGCGUUUUUACUGUAGACUGGGCAGGAAGCUUCCGGGAAACCAAAGCAUUUGGGUUCCAGGGGAAGUAUGGUUGCAAAGCUGAAACUUAAAGGAAUUGACGGAAGGGCACCACCAGGAGUGGAGCCUGUGGCUUAAUU
rnacentral:rRNA from 1 species